rnacentral:rRNA from 1 species
UACGGAGGGUGCGAGCGUUAAUCGGAAUUACUGGGCGUAAAGGGUGCGUAGGUGGUUAGUUAAGUUAUCUGUAAAAUCCCCGGGCUCAACCUGGGCAGGCCAGAUAAAACUGAUUAACUCGAGUAUGGGAGAGGGUAGUGGAAUUUCCGGUGUAGCGGUGAAAUGCGUAGAGAUCGGAAGGAACACCAGUGGCGAAGGCGGCUACCUGGCCCAAUACGUGACACUGAGGCACGAAAGCGUGGGGAGCAAACAGGG